rnacentral:rRNA from 1 species
GAUGAACGCUAGCUACAGGCUUAACACAUGCAAGUCGAGGGGAAACGGCAUUAAGUGCUUGCACUUUUUGGACGUCGACCGGCGCACGGGUGAGUAACGCGUAUCCAACCUUCCCAUGACUAAGGGAUAACCUGCCGAAAGGCAGACUAAUACCUUAUGGUCUUCACUGACGGCAUCAGAUGUGAAGUAAAGAUUUAUCGGUUAUGGAUGGGGAUGCGUCUGAUUAGUUAGUUGGCGGGGUAACGGCCCACCAAGGCAACGAUCAGUAGGGGUUCUGAGAGGAAGGUCCCCCACAUUGGAACUGAGACACGGUCCAAACUCCUACGGGAGGCAGCAGUGAGGAAUAUUGGUCAAUGGGCGAGAGCCUGAACCAGCCAAGUAGCGUGCAGGACGACGGCCCUAUGGGUUGUAAACUGCUUUUGUAUGGGGAUAAAGUCAAUCACGUGUGAUUGUUUGCAGGUACCAUACGAAUAAGGACCGGCU